GAUGAACGCUGGCGGCGUGCCUAAUACAUGCAAGUCGAGCGAACAGACGAGGAGCUUGCUUCUCUGACGUUAGCGGCGGACGGGUGAGUAACACGUGGAUAACCUACCUAUAAGACUGGGAUAACUUCGGGAAACCGGAGCUAAUACCGGAUAAUAUAUUGAACCGCAUGGUUCAAUAGUGAAAGACGGUUUUGCUGUCACUUAUAGAUGGAUCCGCGCUGCAUUAGCUAGUUGGUAAGGUAACGGCUUACCAAGGCAACGAUGCGUAGCCGACCUGAGAGGGUGAUCGGCCACACUGGAACUGAGACACGGUCCAGACUCCUACGGGAGGCAGCAGUAGGGAAUCUUCCGCAAUGGGCGAAAGCUUGACGGAGCAACGCCGCGUGAGUGAUGAAGGUCUUCGGAUCGUAAAACUCUGUUAUUAGGGAAGAACAAAUGUGUAAGUAACUAUGCACGUCUUGACGGUACCUAAUCAGAAAGCCACGGCUAACUACGUG
rnacentral:rRNA from 1 species